rnacentral:rRNA from 1 species
UACGUAGGGUGCGAGCGUUGUCCGGAAUUAUUGGGCGUAAAGGGCUCGUAGGCGGUCUGUCGCGUCGGGAGUGAAAACUCAGGGCUUAACCCUGAGCCUGCUUCCGAUACGGGCAGACUAGAGGUAUGCAGGGGAGAACGGAAUUCCUGGUGUAGCGGUGGAAUGCGCAGAUAUCAGGAGGAACACCGGUGGCGAAGGCGGGUCUCUGGGCCGAUACUGACGCUGAGGCGCGAAAGCGUGGGGAGCAAACAGG